rnacentral:rRNA from 1 species
CCUACGGGAGGCAGCAGUGAGGAAUAUUGGUCAAUGGGAGAGAUCCUGAACCAGCCAAGCCGCGUGAGGGAAGACGGCCCUAUGGGUUGUAAACCUCUUUUGUCGGAGAACAAAAUCCGGGACGUGUCCCGGACUGCGUGUAUCCGAAGAAUAAGCAUCGGCUAACUCCGUGCCAGCAGCCGCGGUAAUACGGAGGAUGCGAGCGUUAUCCGGAUUUAUUGGGUUUAAAGGGUGCGUAGGCGGUCCGUUAAGUCAGCGGUAAAAUUGCGGGGCUAAACCCCAUAGAGCCGUUGAAACUGGGUGUCUUGAGUGGGCGAGAGGUACGCGGAAUGCGCGGUGUAGCGGUGAAAUGCAUAGAUAUCGCGAAGAACUCCGAUUGCGAAGGCAGCGUACCGGCGCGUGACUGACGCUGAGGCACGAAAGCGUGGGGAUCGAACAGGAUUAGAUACCCUAGUAGUC